CCGCUAUCAAUUCGUUCCUUCUCCACAGCAACACAUCCGCCUUCUAGAACCUUCUCGCCGCCGCCGCCGCCGCCACCACCCGUCGAAGCGAAGCAAAGCAAUGGCCGGAGUCGGAUCGAAGGCCCUCGCCGUGGUCGCCGUCCUGGCGGCCGUCGCCCUGUCGGUGGCCAACGCGGCUGAUGCGCCCGCGCCCAGCCCCGUCUCCGCCGCCGGCGCCGCGUCGGCGCCCUUCGCCGCGGCACUCGUCGCCUCCGCCGCCUCCUUCCUCUUCGCCGCCGUCCGCCACUGAGCCGAUGGGGGCCUGAUGCCUCGUGCCUGCCCUGCCUACCUACCUAGCAGUACUUCCACCACCGCCGCCUUCGCCGCCUAGAUCUAUUUAUUAUUAUUGGAGUGUUAUUCAGUAGUAGUAGUAGUAGGGAGAGAUUUCUUCGUAGCUCUCGUGUCGUCGUCGCAUUUUGGUCGGAUCUGGUGUGUCCUUGGUGGAGGUUGGGUUUCUACCGUAUCGUGGUGUGUGUGUGUGUGUGUGUCGGUUGUGUGAUCUGAUGAUCCCCCCUUGUAGAUACUCUGCUUUCAUCUCGCCGUGAUCGUGAGUGGUGAUUCUGUCUGGUUGCUACUGAUAUAUUAUUAUUUCUUCUUAUUAUUAUUGGUCCCAUUUGAGACAUGUGUUGUUGCUGAUUUGUGUAUUAUUUCUUUCUCUGCGCUUGAUUUAUCGUUUACUCUGCUGCGUUCUGUGUAUUGUUCGCUCCGUCGCUGCGAAAUUUUGCGUCGCGGUUGGGAUCCGUGACGCGUUAGAUUUGUUUCUACUUCCGAUCCGCGUCGCGUUGCAUCGACGCAGGUUCUUUUUUGUUGUUGCCAGGAAGUAAAUUAAUUAAUUAUUACGAUCUGAAAGACUGACUGACUGGGCUUUAACGUGUCUUGGUCUGUGGUGUGUUUCGAUCUGGGUAGUUUUUUAUUUCUGAUGAGGAUUCUCAGUCAGGCAGGAGAAUGAACCUUGGGGCGUGUGUAGUUUAAUGCCCUUCCUCUGCUGACAAAAGAUUGAUUCGGCGUCUUGUUUAUGAAGGUCAGAAACUCAUGAAUAGUGGUGCCCAACCUUCAUCAGUUCCUUAAUAUUUUGCUCUGAAUGCAACAACGGCAGAAGUGGCAAAUCUCAGUGCGGAUUCAAAAUUCCUAGCAAACAAUGCCGGCAAAGUAAACAUGGACUGGCGAGCGACCAGGAGCAGCACAUGAUCGCUGUUGUUGAGGCAUGGAGCCAUAUGACCGCUCCUUUGGACGGUCCGGUCAGAGGUUCAGCUUGACCCAGACCUUUGCUGCCCUCCUCUUUUCAUUUUCAUUUCUCAAUGGCCAAUAACAUUCAGCAUCAACAGUGCUAGGCACUGCUACAAAUCCUACAAACAGUCAGAACACCACACUCUUUCUUGUACUCUACAGGUAGACAAGAAAACGGUGAUGCGUUGGCAGACGAGGAGGAGUUGAAGCGUGUAACAAACGGUUUACUACCCCUGUAGUACCUGUAGUGAGCGACGAGCGUGUAUUAUUCUGGCAUGUUUGGUUGCUAGCCAUAGUUUGCCACACUUUACCUUAGGCAAGUUUGAUCAAGUUAGCAAGUAUUUGGUUGACAACUAAGUUUAGGUAUGAUUCUUUUGGGCUC
rnacentral:lncRNA from 1 species